CGACUGCUAUCAGAAUAGGACUAAGCCAUGCGAGUCAACGUAGCAAUACGUGGCAUACGGCUCAGUAACACGUAGUCAACAUGCCCAGGGGACGUGGAUAACCUCGGGAAACUGAGGAUAAACCGCGAUAGGUCAUAAUAUCUGGAAUGAUUUCUGGCUGAAAUCUAUAUGGCCCCUGGAUUGGACUGCGGCCGAUCAGGCUGUUGGUGAGGUAAUGGCCCACCAAACCUAAAACCGGUACGGGCUCUGAGAGGAGGAGCCCGGAGAUGGGCACUGAGACAAGGGCCCAGGCCCUAUGGGGCGCAGCAGGCGCGAAAACUCUGCAAUAAGCGAAAGCUUGACAGGGUUAUUCUGAGUGAUUUCCGCUAAGGAAAUCUUUUGGCACCUCUAAAAAUGGUGCAGAAUAAGGGGUGGGCAAGCCUGGUGUCAGCCGCCGCGGUAAUACCAGCACCCCGAGUGGUCGGGACGAUUAUUGGGCCUAAAGCAUCCGUAGCCGGUUCUACAAGUCUUCCGUUAAAUCCACCUGCUUAACAGAUGGGCUGCGGAGGAUACUAUGGAGCUAGGAGGCGGGAGAGGCAAGCGGUACUUAGUGGGUAGGGGUAAAAUCCGUUGAUCCAUUGAAGACCACCAGUGGCGAAAGCGGCUUGCCAGAACGCACUCGACGGUGAGGGAUGAAAGCUGGGGGAGCAAACCGGAUUAGAUACCCGGGUAGUCCCAGCUGUAAACGAUGCAGACUCGGUGAUGAAUAGCUCGUGC
rnacentral:rRNA from 1 species